rnacentral:rRNA from 1 species
AGAGUUUGAUCCUGGCUCAGGACGAACGCUGGCGGCGUGCUUAACACAUGCAAGUCGAGCGAGGGAAUCCCUUCGGGGUGAACCUAGCGGCGGACGGGUGAGUAACACGUGAGUAACCUGCCCUAUGGAGGGGGAUAACACAGAGAAAUUUGUGCUAAUACAGCAUAAAACUGAUGUUCCGCAUGAAGUAUCAGUCAAAGAUUUAUCGCCAUAGGAUGGACUCGCGGCGCAUUAGCUAGUUGGUGAGGUAACGGCUCACCAAGGCGACGAUGCGUAGCCGACCUGAGAGGGUGAUCGGCCACAUUGGAACUGAGACACGGUCCAGACUCCUACGGGAGGCAGCAGUGGGGAAUAUUGCACAAUGGGCGAAAGCCUGAUGCAGCAACGCCGCGUGAGCGAUGAAGGCCUUCGGGUUGUAAAGCUCUGUCUUCGCUGACGAUAAUGACGGUAAGCGAGGAGGAAGCCACGGCUAACUACGUGCCAGCAGCCGCGGUAAUACGUAGGUGGCAAGCGUUGUCCGGAAUUACUGGGCGUAAAGAAUGCGUAGGCGGUCUUUUAAGUGGGAUGUGAAAUCCCUGGGCUCAACCCAGGAACUGCAUUCCAAACUGGAAGACUAGAGUGCGGGAGAGGAAAUUGGUAUUCCCAGUGUAGCGGUGAAAUGCGUAGAGAUUGGGAGGAACACCAGUAGCGAAGGCGAAUUUCUGGAACGUAACUGACGCUGAGGCAUGAAAGCGUGNGGAGCAAACAGGAUUAGAUACCCUGGUAGUCCACGCCGU